UGAUUAAUUACCAGAUGUGCUAGGAUCAGU
rnacentral:piRNA from 1 species